ACCCGCUGAACUUAAGCAUAUCAAUAAGCGGAGGAAAAGAAACCAACAGGGAUUGCCUCAGUAACGGCGAGUGAAGCGGCAACAGCUCAAAUUUGAAAUCUGGCUCUUUUAGAGUCCGAGUUGUAAUUUGUAGAAGAUGCUUCGAGUGUGGUACCGGUUUAAGUUCCUUGGAACAGGACGUCAUAGAGGGUGAGAAUCCCGUAUGUAACUGGUUGCCUUUGCUCAUGUGAAGCUCUUUCGACGAGUCGAGUUGUUUGGGAAUGCAGCUCAAAAUGGGUGGUAAAUUUCAUCUAAAGCUAAAUAUUGGCCAGAGACCGAUAGCGCACAAGUAGAGUGAUCGAAAGAUGAAAAGCACUUUGGAAAGAGAGUUAAACAGUACGUGAAAUUGUUGAAAGGGAAGCGCUUGCAACCAGACUUGCACGCAGUUGAUCAUCCGGUGUUCUCACCGGUGCACUCUACUGUGUUCAGGCUAGCAUCGGUUUUGGUGGUUGGAUAAAGGCCUAAGGAAUGUAGCUUCUCUCGGGGAGUGUUAUAGCCCUAGGUGCAAUGCAGCCUACCGGGACCGAGGACCGCGCUUCGGCUAGGAUGCUGGCGUAAUGGUUGUAAGCGACCCGUCUUGAAACACGG
rnacentral:rRNA from 1 species